rnacentral:lncRNA from 1 species
UUCUGUUUUAGCUUUAAUCCAAUCUAGAGAAAACAUAAGAUCACGGAGUUCCUUCUGCAUGUUGGCACCAGCCAUGUGAUAUGCUAGAAAGUUAUACCAGUACAUACAGUCCUCUUGGGAUAGCACAGGCACAUGAAGCUUGUAAUAUCUCUUGUACUGAUUUACUAUAUUUUUAUGUAGUUCCUGAAGCUGGUUGCAAUUCUUCUCUGUAAGAAAGUCGAGUUGAAGAUCAUGUAAAUAAUAAUGAAAUGAAUUCCCAUUACGAUCGCAGAACAAUAGUGAUUUGUUAACAAAUUCCUGCAGUAUAUCUUCAACUUCUUCAGUUUCC